rnacentral:lncRNA from 1 species
GCACAUCUCUGUUGGAAUAUGAUUGUUUAGAAGAUUGGCAAAGUAGUGGAAUAGAUGAAAAACGGGUUGAUUCACCUGCCCAUCUUCACAAGUUCAACCUCUUUUUGAGAUGUUAAGGAUAUCAGGAUAAGGAAAAGACUAAAUCAUGUAAGGAAGGGAUUUAAAAGCAAGGCGGCCAAAAGACCAUCUAAGGAAGGCAACAAAGAGUCUCCAAAUAGGAAUGAGAUUCUUCAAAGAAACACUCCAAAAAGGAAUUAGAUUCCUUAAAAGGAAAAGUAAGCUGACUUAAAGGAAACAAGUAUCUAUAUCUUAAUACCCAAGAGCUUCCACAAAGUCGUUUGCACACUCAUACAUAUAAAAGAUAAUUCAGAG